rnacentral:sRNA from 1 species
CAACAUCCUCCAGCGCGUCACAACCGUCAAGAAUAAGAACCUUAAGUUGGCCUGCAUUGGAUAUGCUUGUUGGCAGAUUUUUCAUCUCUUUUCCGUGUAGCGUAGGUCAAUCACCCUCAAGUUUUGCAGACAUGCCCACUUUCCUUGAAGUUCAACUGUACUGUUGCUCUUACAGCGAUCUAAUCCAAUGAAUUUUAACGUUUGGCAAUGGAGGAAAGGAGGCGAUACAAAGUUGAAGGCACAACAGGAGAGAACCAGCACGCAGAGGCUACUGCACUGUUCAAAAAAACCAUCUGGUAUUCCAAGGAGGCCACCACUGUACAUUUGAGUUGCUAAGAAGAUUGAUGAUGCACUUGCCAUUUUAGUUUGCAUAGCCUCCUCUAUGGUAUCAUUUGAGAUGGCAAAAACCCAACGGUAAGGCCUGUUUGAAUUUGAAUAGACAAACUUAUUGUCGUCUUCCAGUAAUAGGAAAGGGGCCUUCGGAUCCAUCUUCAACAUUUCAACCACCCUUUUCAACUCAUAAGAACGACACUCGAAACUUACUUCUGGAUGCAAUGC